rnacentral:misc_RNA from 1 species
GAAAUGCGAAACGUAGUACGAUCCGCACACACCUGUGAGUCAUCGAGUCUUUGAACGCACAUGGCACUCGCUACCUCGGUGGCGAGUAUACCUGUUUGAGAAUCGGUUCCAAUCUACCAUCCCCGGAUGGUGACUUGACGCUUCUCACUCUCCCGGGUGAGUCCGUCUAAAUCGAGCGUGUAGGGCUGGCUGGACUGUGCGUCCGCGCCGUGUGGUACUGGACCUUGCGUCCUUGCGAUCACGGAUGCAACGUGGACAAGCAGAAGAGCCGGCAUCCAAACCUGCAUGACCACUAGGAGUGUACACACACUCAUGGUCAUACGGACUUCGGGCCGUGACUUUCGAUCUCAAAUCAGGCAAGGCUACCCGCUGAACUUAA